UAUCCCCCUGUGUUAUUUCACCCCAGAGCACUUAGCUGCUUCCUAACAUGGGGUUGACCCUUGAACAACAUGGGUCUGAAAUAUACCGGAAGAGCACAGGUC